GGGGUCGCUCAUUUGGCGUUACCCCCCGGUCCAACCGUUCCGUAGGUGAACCUGCGGAAGGAUCAUUA
rnacentral:rRNA from 1 species